rnacentral:tRNA from 1 species
GGGAUUUUGGUCUAGAGGUAUGAUUCUCACUUCGGGUGCGAGAGAUUCUGGGUUCGAUUCCCAGAAAUCCCU